UGGGAUCAGUGGCGAACGGGUGAGUAACACGUGAGCAACCUACCCCUGACUCUGGGAUAAGCGCUGGAAACGGCGUCUAAUACUGGAUACGAGUGGCGACCGCAUGGUCAGCUACUGGAAAGAUUUAUUGGUUGGGGAUGGGCUCGCGGCCUAUCAGCUUGUUGGUGAGGUAAUGGCUCACCAAGGCGUCGACGGGUAGCCGGCCUGAGAGGGUGACCGGCCACACUGGGACUGAGACACGGCCCAGACUCCUACGGGAGGCAGCAGUGGGGAAUAUUGCACAAUGGGCGCAAGCCUGAUGCAGCAACGCCGCGUGAGGGAUGACGGCCUUCGGGUUGUAAACCUCUUUUAGCAGGGAAGAAGCGAAAGUGACGGUACCUGCAGAAAAAGCGCCGGCUAACUACGUGCCAGCAGCCGCGGUAAUACGUAGGGCGCAAGCGUUAUCCGGAAUUAUUGGGCGUAAAGAGCUCGUAGGCGGUUUGUCGCGUCUGCUGUGAAAUCCGGAGGCUCAACCUCCGGCCUGCAGUGGGUACGGGCAGACUAGAGUGCGGUAGGGGAGAUUGGAAUUCCUGGUGUAGCGGUGGAAUGCGCAGAUAUCAGGAGGAACACCGAUGGCGAAGGCAGAUCUCUGGGCCGUAACUGACGCUGAGGAGCGAAAGGGUGGGGAGCAAACAGGCUUAGAUACCCUGGUAGUCCACCCCGUAAACGUUGGGAACUAGUUGUGGGGUCCAUUCCACGGAUUCCGUGACGC
rnacentral:rRNA from 1 species